GAUGAACGCUGGCGGCGUGCCUAAUACAUGCAAGUCGAACGCACAGCGAAAGGUGCUUGCACCUUUCAAGUGAGUGGCGAACGGGUGAGUAACACGUGGAUAACCUACCUCAAGGUUGGGGAUAACAUUUGGAAACAGAUGCUAAUACCGAAUAAAACUUAGUAUCGCAUGAUACCAGGUUAAAAGGCGCUACGGCGUCACCUAGAGAUGGAUCCGCGGUGCAUUAGUUAGUUGGUGGGGUAAAGGCUUACCAAGACAAUGAUGCAUAGCCGAGUUGAGAGACUGAUCGGCCACAUUGGGACUGAGACACGGCCCAAACUCCUACGGGAGGCUGCAGUAGGGAAUCUUCCACAAUGGGCGAAAGCCUGAUGGAGCAACGCCGCGUGUGUGAUGAAGGCUUUCGGGUCGUAAAGCACUGUUGUAUGGGAAGAACAGCUAGAGUAGGGAAUGACUUUAGUUUGACGGUACCAUACCAGAAAGGGACGGCUAAAUACGUGCCAGCAGCCGCGGUAAUACGUAUGUCCCGAGCGUUAUCCGGAUUUAUUGGGCGUAAAGCGAGCGCAGACGGUUAAUUAAGUCUGAUGUGAAAGCCCGGAGCUCAACUCCGGAAAGGCAUUGGAAACUGGUUAACUUGAGUGCAGUAGAGGUAAGUGGAACUCCAUGUGUAGCGGUGGAAUGCGUAGAUAUAUGGAAGAACACCAGCGGCGAAGGCGGCUUACUGGACUGUAACUGACGUUGAGGCUCGAAAGUGUGGGUAGCAAACAGGAUUAGAUACCCUGGUAGUCCACACCCGUAAACGAUGAAC
rnacentral:rRNA from 1 species